rnacentral:misc_RNA from 1 species
GCCCAUUUUCAUCAAUUACUUAUUACAUUUUAUUAGUUUUUUUUAAAAAAAAAGAAGACUUAAAAAGUCAACAGUUGUUUUUACAAGUUUGCUAUUAAUGUAUAAUAAUAUUAGUUGUAGGAAUAAGAGUAUUAAAACUCACAUUAUCAUUUAGAGUUCUAUAUAUGAAAACAUUACCUGAAAAGUUGCAUGCAUAAUUUAUCACCCUGGUAAAUCUACUGAAAACCCGAAGACCUGGACUUUACCCCGUAAUAAUUAUGCUUAGUGUUUAAAGGUGAUUAUGCUUAGUGUUUUAGUAAGGAAAAGUAAGCAAAAGUUUCAUUAACAUGUUAAAUUUAAGCUGAAAACUGAAAAAAAAAACAGUUUUGGUUCUUUUUCGUAAACACGCAUUUUGAGCUACGUCCAGAUAAAAAAAAACGACAUUGAGACAGAAAAAUCAUAUCAUAUCAAAUCAUAUUUUUUAUAUUACCAUACUUUUUCUUCCAAAACAUUUUAGUUAUUUAAAAAUAACCAUAUUUCUGAUUUGUAGACGAAAAGAAUUCUUUGAAUCAUACUAUGCGUGACAAUGACUUUUAAAUUAUUAUAUCAAUAGCUGAGCAGCUGGAAUGAUUUUGAAUUUUCCUCUUAAAAACAUCGACCUUGACUUUUGGAAUGUAAAAGGAAUUUCCCCGGUAAAAGCGAAUGCGCCCAAAACAACUCUGCGCCAUUCCAAUCUAAACUUAUCAUUUACCCACUUCCCUACCAGGACAAAUAUUUAAAUGCCCACGAAUUCAAAUUCCUUACGUAUCUUUUAUUUGUUUAUCUUUUUCUACUGUCGCUAUUUUUGUCGUUGACGAUGCCCAUGCAGAAGUUGAUUUAUCAUUUGCUGUUUUUAUACAUUCGUUCAUUGGAAUCUUUCUUUAUGAGAAAGUUCAUUGAUUGCUCAAGAUAACGAUCUCUUUCGUCAGUUGUUGUCGCUCCAUGACUCAAUAGCAGAAUUGAGAGAACGUCAACGACAUAGUGCCCUAUGCAUGGAUGACGAAGAUGAAGACGAGGAAGAGGACAUUGAAAUCAGUCGAUGCGUUGGAAAUCGGAGCACUGAAAGCAACUCUCCAAGUCUCGAGUCGCUCUCUGAUCCCGGAGAGCUUCCAGAAACGUCUCCAGAAUCCACACUUUCCUCCCGCUCUAGUCUAUCCGGUACCAGUUCCGAUUCCUGCAAGCAACAUAUUUACAAAAGUUGCGGUAAUCAUCACCGUAAUCGGUAUCGGAAAGAUGACAAGCAUAGAUAUAGGGCGAAUAACAAAAAUCCCAACGAUUCUAGGCCACUU